UGAGUUUGAUCCUGGCUCAGAGCGAACGCUGGCGGCAGGCCUAAUACAUGCAAGUCGAGCGGUCCCUUCGGGGGCAGCGGCGGACGGGUGAGUAACGCGUGGGAACGUGCCCUUUGGUACGGAACAACUGAGGGAAACUUCAGCUAAUACCGUAUGUGCCCUUCGGGGGAAAGAUUUAUCGCCAUUGGAGCGGCCCGCGUUGGAUUAGGUAGUUGGUGAGGUAAAGGCUCACCAAGCCUACGAUCCAUAGCUGGUCUGAGAGGAUGAUCAGCCACACUGGGACUGAGACACGGCCCAGACUCCUACGGGAGGCAGCAGUAGGGAAUCUUGCGCAAUGGGCGAAAGCCUGACGCAGCCAUGCCGCGUGAAUGAUGAAGGUCUUAGGAUUGUAAAAUUCUUUCACCGGGGACGAUAAUGACGGUACCCGGAGAAGAAGCCCCGGCUAA
rnacentral:rRNA from 1 species